AAACUAUAACUCAAAACUGGCAAGAUGAUAAAGAUG
rnacentral:guide_RNA from 1 species